UGUAUUUAUAUCUCCCAUCUAGACUGUCAUUUACCUGUAGUUAGGGACCACAGAUUCUCAUUUUUAUUUCCACAGUUUCUGAAAAAGUGUGUGAAGCAUGCUCAGAAUCAAUAAGCUUCCACUUAAUAAAUGAGAAAGGAGUGAACUCAUCAGAAUCCCAGAGAUUGCUGAAAAAAAUUACCACGGUCGAGAAUCUGCUGCAUCAAAGCUCUGGUGGAAUAAACAGGGGAAGAAAAAUCUCAAAGGUUCACAGCCAGGUUUUAGAGAUGAAGGGCAGGAUGCUGGGCUGUACUCCUGCACAAACUUUCAACUUGUGCACUUGGAAAGCUGUGUUCUUUCCAUCAAAGGGCAGAGACUCUAACAGGACAGUAAACCUAGGAAGGAUGUUCUGACCUUCCCUCAAAGCUGGAAAGGAGGCCCUCAUUCAAGAGAAAUUACUUGACCCAUAUCCAGUAAAAGGAACCUCCUUAUCCCUGAAGACAUGAAGACCAAGAGGAAUCCCUACAGACAAGUUCUUACAAGGUUGCCUCAAUUAUAUCCUACCCUCUUGUCCAGUAAAUUUUUUUCUAUGACUGUCCACUCUUCCACAAACUUAGCUUAAAAACAUGUGUGAUGAUUUCUUUGAGCCUUCAUUUCUGAAGACUCCUGUGUAACAAAAAACUAAUAUUAAAUAAACUUGUGUUCUUUUCUCAUGUUAA